UACGUAGGGUCCGAGCGUUGUCCGGAAUCAUUGGGCGUAAAGAGCGCGUAGGCGGUCCGGUAAGUCCGCUCUGAAAGUCCGGGGCUCAACCCCGGGAGGCGGGCGGAUACUGUCGGGCUAGAGUCCGGAAGAGGCGAGUGGAAUUCCUGGUGUAGCGGUGAAAUGCGCAGAUAUCAGGAGGAACACCAAUGGCGAAGGCAGCUCGCUGGGACGGUACUGACGCUGAGGCGCGAAAGCGUGGGGAGCAAACAGG
rnacentral:rRNA from 1 species